GACGAACGCUGGCGGCGUGCUUAACACAUGCAAGUCGAACGGAAAGGCCCUGCUUUUGUGGCGUGCUUGAGUGGCGAACGGGUGAGUAACACGUGAGUAACCUGCCCUUGACUUUGGGAUAACUUCAGGAAACUGGGGCUAAUACCGGAUAGGAGUUCCUGCUGCAUGGUGGUGGUUGGAAAGUUUCGGCGGUUGGGGAUGGACUCGCGGCUUAUCAGCUUGUUGGUGGGGUAGUGGCUUACCAAGGCUUUGACGGGUAGCCGGCCUGGGAGGGGGACCGGCCACAUGGGGACUGAGAUAGGGCCCAGACUCCUACGGGAGGCAGCAGUGGGAAAUAUUGCAGAAUGGGGCGAAGCGUGAUGCGGAAACGCCGCGUGCGGAAUGCCGGCCUACGGGUUGUAAACCGCUUUCGCCUGUGACGAGGCGUGAGUGACGGUACUGGGUAAAGAAGCACCGGCUAACUACGUG
rnacentral:rRNA from 1 species